GCUACACAAAACUAUUUUGCGAGGAGAGGAGCAGCCACCUCUCCAGAGAUGUGAGGACUGCUGUUCCUUGUACCACUGUCCUUUCUGUGGGCCUGAAAUGUUCAAACCCGCCAUCAAAAGCAAAUGUUUAAAGCAUUUACAAGGUCACAGAAGAAGAGCGAUACGGCACAAGGAUCUUCAUCUGACUGCAUCUGAAGCUGGCAGUACUGAGGAGAUGCCUGUCGGCGAAGGACACAAGAAUCUGUUCUCUGAAGAUGCUCAGAAAAUCAGGAGAAGAAAAGCAAACUUUGAGCAACACUUGUGCCCUAAAAGGGCUGUUAGUGAGGAGACAGUGAGCCAGGGGCUCAGUGAUUCAGAGAUGGCAGACCAAAACUCCAGAGGUGAGUCUCAUCAAACAGAAAAUAUUCUGCAUAAUGCAGUUUGCUUGACUUGA
rnacentral:lncRNA from 1 species